AUUGAACGCUGGCGGAAUGCUUUACACAUGCAAGUCGGAACGGCAGCGACGGGGCGACCUGGUGGCGAGUGGCGAACGGGUGAGUAAUACAUCGGAACGUGACCCAAUCGGUGGGGGAUAACGUAGCGAAAGUUACGCUAAUACCGCAUACGAUCUACGGAUGAAAGCGGGGGAUCGCAAGACCUCGCGCGAAUGGAGCGGCCGAUGUCAGAUUAGGUAGUUGGUGGGGUAAAGGCUCACCAAGCCGACGAUCUGUAGCUGGUCUGAGAGGACGACCAGCCACACUGGGACUGAGACACGGCCCAGACUCCUACGGGAGGCAGCAGUGGGGAAUUUUGGACAAUGGGCGCAAGCCUGAUCCAGCCAUUCCGCGUGCAGGAUGAAGGCCUUCGGGUUGUAAACUGCUUUUGUACGGAACGAAAAGGCUCUGGUUAAUACCUGGAGUUUAUGACGGUACCGUAAGAAUAAGCACCGGCUAACUACGUG
rnacentral:rRNA from 1 species